rnacentral:tRNA from 1 species
GGUCCUGUAAUGUAGUGGUAAUCAUACUGGUUUUUGAAAUGAUAUUGUGAAAAUAUUUGAAAAAUACCAGUAACCCCGGUUCGAAUCCGGGCAGGACCU